rnacentral:rRNA from 1 species
AGCAGCCGCGGUAAUACAGAGGGUGCGAGCGUUAAUCGGAUUUACUGGGCGUAAAGCGCACGUAGGCGGCUGGGUAAGUCUGUCUGUGAAAGCCCGGGGCUCAACCCCGCGGACUGCAGGGGAUACUGCCUGGCUGGAGACAAGCAGAGGUUGGUAGAAUUCCGGGUGUAGCGGUGGAAUGCGUAGAGAUCCGGAGGAAUACCAGAGGCGAAGGCGGCCAACUGGGCUUGAUCUGACGCUGAGGUGCGAAAGCGUGGGGAGC